rnacentral:rRNA from 1 species
UACAGGGGGUGCAAACGUUGCUCGGAAUUAUUGGGCGUAAAGCGCGCGUAGGCGGCUACUUAAGUCGGAUGUGAAAGCCCCUGGCUCAACUGAGGAACUGCCUUUGAAACUGUCUGGCUUGAGGCCGGGAGAGGGUAGCGGAAUUCCCAGUGUAGCGGUGAAAUGCGUAGAUAUUGGGAGGAACACCAGUGGCGAAGGCGGCUACCUGGACCGGUUCUGACGCUGAGGCGCGAAAGCGUGGGUAGCAAACAGG